rnacentral:rRNA from 1 species
GAUGAACGCUAGCGGCAGGCUUAAUACAUGCAAGUCGAGGGACAGCACAGGUAGCAAUACUGGGUGGUAACCGGCAAACGGGUGCGGAGCACGUACACUACCUUCCUUUAAGUGGGGGAUAGCCCAGAGAAAUUUGGAUUAAUACCCCGUAAUAUAGUUGAAUGGCAUCAUUUGAUUAUUAUAGCUACGGCGCUUAAUGAUGGGUGUGCGGCUGAUUAGAUAGUUGGCGGGGUAACGGCCCACCAAGUCUACGAUCAGUAGCUGAUGUGAGGGCAUGAUCAGCCACACGGGCACUGAGACACGGGCCCGACUCCUACGGGAGGCAGCAGUAAGGAAUAUUGGUCAAUGGACGCAAGUCUGAACCAGCCAUGCCGCGUGAAGGAUUAAGGUCCUCUGGAUUGUAAACUUCCUUUAUUUGGGACGAAAAAGGGCCUUUCUAGGUCAACUGACGGUACCAGAUGAAUAAGCACCGGCUAACUCCGUGCCAGCCGCCGCGGUAAAAC